AUUGAACGCUGGCGGCAGGCCUAACACAUGCAAGUCGAGCGGAUGAAGGGAGCUUGCUCCUGGAUUCAGCGGCGGACGGGUGUGUAAUGCCUAGGAAUCUGCCUGGUAGUGGGGGAUAACGUCCGGAAGCGGGCGCUAAUACCGCAUACGUCCUGAGGGAGAAAGUGGGGGAUCUUCGGACCUCAUGCUAUCAGAUGAGCCUAGGCCGGAUUAGCUAGUUGGUGGGGUAAAGGCCUACCAAGGCGACGAUCCGUAACUGGUCUGAGAGGAUGAUCAGUCACACUGGAACUGAGACACGGUCCAGACUACUACGAGAGGCAGCAGUCGGGAAUAGUGGCCAAUGGGCGGAAGCCUGAUCCAGCCGUGGCGCGUGUGUGAAGAAGAACUCCGGAUUGGAAAGCACUUUAGGUGGGGGGGAAGAGCAGUAGGUUGAUACCUUGCUGUUGUGACGUUACCAGCCGAAUAAGCACCGGCUAACUUCGUG
rnacentral:rRNA from 1 species